rnacentral:rRNA from 1 species
GACGUAGGGGGCCAGCGUUGUUCGGAAUUACUGGGUGUAAAGGGUUCGUAGGCGGUCUGUCGCGUCGGAUGUGAAAAUCCAGGGCUCAACCCUGGACCUGCAUUCGAUACGGGCAGACUAGAGUUCGGUAGGGGAGACUGGAAUUCCUGGUGUAGCGGUGAAAUGCGUAGAUAUCGGAAGGAACAUCAGUGGCGAAAGCGACUUCCUGGACCAAUACUGACGCUCAUGUGCGAAAGCGUGGGGAGCAAACAGG